ACUCCUACGGGAGGCAGCAGUAGGGAAUCUUCCACAAUGGACGAAAGUCUGAUGGAGCAACGCCGCGUGAGUGAAGAAGGGUUUCGGCUCGUAAAACUCUGUUGUUAAAGAAGAACAUAUCUGAGAGUAACUGUUCAGGUAUUGACGGUAUUUAACCAGAAAGCCACGGCUAACUACGUGCCAGCAGCCGCGGUAAUGC
rnacentral:rRNA from 1 species